CGGCCGCUUCCAAGGACUU
rnacentral:snRNA from 1 species